GCGCCCUUAGCUCAGUUGGUCAGAGCAGGAGACUCAUAAUCUCUUGGUCGCAGGUUCAAGCCCUGCAGGGCGCACAA
rnacentral:tRNA from 2 species